GGGAGGCAGCAGUGGGGAAUAUUGCACAAUGGGCGCAGGCCUGAUGCAGCCAUGCCGCGUGUAUGAAGAAGGCCUUCGGGUUGUAAAGUACUUUCAGCAGUGAGGAAGGGGUGUACGUUAAUAGCGUGCAUCCUUGACGUUAGCUGCAGAAGAAGCACCGGCUAACUCCGUGCCAGCAGCCGCGGUAAUACGGAGGGUGCGAGCGUUAAUCGGAAUUACUGGGCGUAAAGCGCAUGCAGGUGGUUCGUUAAGUCAGAUGUGAAAGCCCGGGGCUCAACCUCGGAACUGCAUUUGAAACUGGCGGGCUAGAGUACUGUAGAGGGGGGUAGAAUUUCAGGUGUAGCGGUGAAAUGCGUAGAGAUCUGAAGGAAUACCAGUGGCGAAGGCGGCCCCCUGGACAGAUACUGACACUCAGAUGCGAAAGCGUGGGGAGCGAACAGGAUUA
rnacentral:rRNA from 1 species